GACGAAGGAUGCAAGCGUUAUCCGGAUUCAUUGGGUUUAAAGGGAGCGUAGGCGGACUUAUAAGUCAGUGGUGAAAUCUCUGGGCUUAACUCAGAAACUGCCAUUGAUACUGUAGGUCUAGAGUACAUUUGCUGUGGGCGGAAUAUGACAUGUAGUGGUGAAAUACUUAGAUAUGUCAUAGAACACCGAUUGCGAAGGCAGCUCACAAAAAAUGUAACUGACGCUGAGGCUCGAAAGUG
rnacentral:rRNA from 1 species